rnacentral:rRNA from 1 species
AACGAACGCUGGCGGCGUGGAUAAGACGUGCAAGUCGGACGAGAUUUUUCGUUGUAGCAAUACGAUGGAAAGUCUAGUGGCGAACGGGUGCUUAACACGUGGGCAACCUGCCAAGAAGUGGGGGACAGCUCGCCGAAAGGCGAAUUAAUACCGCAUGUGAUUAGAGAGGACAUCCUUUCCAAAUUAAAGUCGGGGCAACCUGACGCUUCUUGUGGGGCCCGCGGCCUAUCAGCUAGUUGGUGAGGUAACGGCUCGCCAAGGCUUUGACGGGUAGCUGGUCUGAGAGGACGACCAGCCACACUGGGACUGAGACACGGCCCAGACACCUACGGGUGGCAGCAGUCGAGAAUUUUUCUCAAUGGGGGAAACCCUGAAGGAGCGACGCCGCGUGGAGGAUGAAGGUCUUCGGAUUGUAAACUCCUGUCAUUGGGGAACAAGGUGCAUACGUUAACUGCGUGUGCAUUGAUAGUACCCGAAGAGGAAGAGACGGCUAACUCUGUGCCAGCCGCCGCCGUAAUAC